rnacentral:rRNA from 1 species
UUUACCUACGGGGGGCAGCAGUGGGGGAUAUUGCACAAUGGGGGGAACCCUGAUGCAGCGACGCCGCGUGGAGGAUGAAGGUUUUCGGAUUGUAAACUCCUUUUGUUAGAGAAGAUAAUGACGGUAUCUAACGAAUAAGCACCGGCUAACUCCGUGCCAGCAGCCGCGGUAAUACGGAGGGUGCAAGCGUUACUCGGAAUCACUGGGCGUAAAGAGCGCGUAGGCGGGAUAGCAAGUCAGAUGUGAAAUCCUAUGGCUUAACCAUAGAACUGCAUUUGAAACUGUUAUUCUAGAGUCUG